AAUAUUUCAAGUCUAUAUAAUAUCAGAAACAUACACUCAUACUCAAUAAAGAAAUAAGUUGAUACCUUAUUACAAAUAUAUAGCACUGUUCAGAAAGUGCAUGUUAUAGCACAUUUUGAGUAUUGUUGAUUUUGUGGAUGAAGUCUUGGACUAGUUACUUUUUCUGUGAUUGAUGUCGUGAACUGCCCAGCCAUGCAAGUAACAAACACGCUUGAUUUGUUACGUUACAUUAAUUACUGAGAUACAUGCAGAUGAUGGAGAGGAAAAUGGAGAAGAAAAUAUGAGUUUUUUUACAGGUGACCUAUUGCAAUGUUUCACUACCGAUAUACAGAGUUAAUGCACCUGAUUUAAAUUAUUCCUGCUACGUGUUGAACAUUUGAAAUUCAUAAAACGUUUGAGUGGAUUGUCUGAGUGGAUUGUCUAACAUACAAUUCCAUCAUUAAAAACAGCAUUGCCUGGACAUUUUACGGAAAAGGAGAAGUUCACUGAAGAAUGAGUGAUACAGAUGGAGUAGCUGGUGAUUCAGUAGCACCUGCUCUGAACCAUGAAACUUUGAUGAAGAAAUCAAAAUUUAAAGAAGGGUUGUCAGGCAGGGGCCUUGAAAAAUUGGGUAAUAAAGACAUUCUAGUGAACAGAAUAUUGAGAGUCAUGAACUUUGGUAAAACAGACAUUUCAACCUCAAGUGACAGUUCUAAUGAGGAUGAUGAAAUUGUGCCUAAUCCUUCAACUCUAAAAACUGGAUGGGAAGAAAUGGUAACCUCAAACAGUCCAAAUAUUAAAGAAGACAUCCUCAACUAUUUCUUAUAUUCAAAAUACCCUGUUUCAGGAAAAGCAAAGAAAUGCAAGAGGCAACUGAAGAAGGCUUGGAGACUCUGUAAUGAAAAUUUUCUUGGGGAAAAUGAAAGUAAACAAUGUUAAUGAUACAUGCAGAGUGCAGACCAAGUAUGAGACAGUGAAAGUCGAUGGAAAAACAGAUGACCAUUACAGCCUGUAUGUUACCAUUAUUAAAACUGGACAAAUUGAGAACUCAUGUAAUUGUAAAGCUGGAAAAGCUGGACUUUGUUCCCAUGUUGGAGCAGCCCUAUUUGUCGUUUUGAAAAUUAAAAACCCAUGUACAACUAGUGAUAUGCUAGAUGGACUAGGAUGUGCUUACCCAAACUCUGUUCUUUAUCAAACAAUGUUUGCACGAACUGCAGACUUAACAGACUUUAUGACCAUAUUUCAACCAUCGUAUAUGUUUAUGGACAAUGUGGAUUUGAGUUCUAUUGUAUACCAGUCCGAAUUUAUUGACUUUGUUAAUCAACUGGAAAUGUCUCCCUCAACUAUAUCAGAAUUGAACAAUUCAACCCAUGGACAAGCAAACAAUAAGAAUUGGAUAGAGGCUAGAACUUGAGUGUUGACUGCUUCUAAUUUUGGUGCAGUUUGUAAGAGAAAAGAAGAAAUGCCCACAGAAAAUUUAGAUAGAGUACUUUGUGGAUACAAUACAUAACCAAAUACAUGCAGUAUAUCAUGGGGAAAAAGUAUGAAUGUAAAGCUCACAGACAGUAUGUGCAAAAUCAUAGAAAAAAUUGUAAAGAUGUCUUUGUAGAAGACAUGGGUCUCUAUAUAAGCAAGAGAUAUCCUUUCCUUGGAGCCAGUGUGGAUGGAUUAGUUCGGUGCUCCAGAUGUGGAACUGGGGUUGUAGAAAUUAAGUGCCCCUAUGGCAGAAAAGAAGACAAGUGGAGAAACAAACUUCCUGAAGAAUGUGCAAACAACCGAUUUUUUUGUUGAGAUGCAAGAAGAAAAGUUACGCCUAUAAAGACAACAUAAUUAUUUUUACCAUGUUAAGGCCAAAUGGUAAUUUUUGAAAUUGAAUUGGUAGAUUUUGUAAUUUGGACCUAAAAAGGAAUUUCCACUGAAAGAAUUCUGUUUGAUCAAAAUUUCUGGCAUACAAAUUGAAAUAUUUUUAUACAAGGAACAUUGGAGCUGAGAUAUACACCUGUAGAGUAAGACGUGGCAAAUCUUUAUACUGACUUUCAUGUUAGCGCAUUUUUCAAUAUUCAUUGCAUGUUUCAUAUUAAACUAUUUUUUCAACACAGUUUACACACAUUUAAUUGCUUUACAAAUCAUUUGAGCAGUGGUUCAUACAAAUUUGUCAUGGCAGUACAAUUAAAAUUAUUUGCUCAGCGAGAUGUGCUUCAGAAAGCGACAACACGGUUUGUAAUAUUUUUAAUUUUUUUUAUCUACUCCAUCUUCAUCUCAACAACAAUCCUUGGUUGAGCAAUUUGUUGAGUUUUGAAGAAUUCGUCUGCGGUCAUCUGAUUUGACGAUGACACAAAUGGUGGCAUAUUGAGUCCAAUAUCAGCUGGUAGCUAGUCAGCAAUUGUAAAUCCGCUAAAAUUGUAUUACCACUUUGAAGUUGUGGUAGAAACAUAUUGCCAUCACCCUGUACAAUAUGACGAACUGAUGUGUGCCCACCCCAAACUCGUGACACAAAUGUUAUUAACCUAUUGGGUGCAACACCUAUUAAUACUUUAAAUGUAUUGUGGUGUUUGUAUUCACUCCAGGUCAAAAACUGAACUCACAGAAAAAUUCGGUUGCAUCAAUUACAAUUCUCACAGUUGGCAUAUCCAUAAAUGCAUUUGGAAGAUUAGCCAAAAUUUGUUCUCAUGUUGGCCAUGGUAUCAAUCCUUUAUAGUGGUCAUAAAGGAAGUUGAUCCAAGUAUUCAAAAUUCUUGAAACAGUCAUGACCGAUACAAAGAACAUAUCUGCCAAAUGUUCCUGUAGCAUGCCUAGUAUCAGCCUUAAACAAACCAUAUAAAAUUCAUCAUUGGGUCGUAGCUUCCUUUUUCUUCCAGGUUUAAAAAAGCAAGGGGUAUUGUAUUUCCUAUCAUCUGUAUCUAGUAAUCGCAGUUCUCCUUCCCAGUAUGUAAGCCUAUCUCCCCCAUGUUUCAUCAAAACAUUGAACAUCAAAUCAAAUGUCUUGUAAUUUGGGAAACCAGUGUAAAACCUGGUUUUGUCGUCAUUGUUAUAAAUAUCUUCAGGCUUCAUAAAUGGAUACUGAGCUUGAACUUCAGCAGUACAUGUUAAUCUAACAUCGGAUGAAAUAAUCUGUGUUUGAAAAUCACAAGUAUUGCUGCUCCCGUCAUUGUACAGUGUCACUGAUUUGAUCACAUUGCUGUGUGUUGCAUGUAUUAUGGUUAGGAAUUUUCUCGUCUGCGGUAAUUGUAGUUAAAAGUUUUAUUUGCAGGGUCAGGAGUUAUUUUUAUUAGUACCCUACGUGGAGUUUUUUCUGCCUUUGCAUGCUUUAAGUUUAAUUCAGUAGGCACUGAUGACUUAAUGCAUACAUUAUUUUCAAAAUGUAAAUUGUAUAUUUGGGUAUUAUCUGUAAUAGGAGCAUUUGGCCAAAUGAAUUUGAUCGGUGAGGCCAUCAUUAAAAAUGUUUUUGUUUGAUGUACUCCGACCCACAUUUUUCAAGGUGGGUCGGUAGGUAGGUGUUUUUGUUUGUUUGUUUUUUAAUGUCAUGAAAUUUUUUAAUGUUUAGUUUUAAAGUAAGGAGAAUUUUCUAUUUUUCAAGGGAACAAAAAAAGAAAAAAAUGAAAUUUAAAAUUGCUGAAAAAAAUGAUUGGGUAGGAGCAAAUUUGACAGGUUGGUCGGAGUACAUCAAACAAAUAAAUUUUUAUUUUUGGCCUGAAUCCAGCUCUCCCUAUGUGUUUUAUCAUUUUCUUUCGUACCUACGAGUAUUCUGUGCAAUGUAAUUUUCUCAUUGUUUUCAGUGACUUGGCCUUGGUAGUGUGAUCACAAGACACAAUAAUGACGCCCACCACCCAUUUUAUGGUUAAAGCCCUAUAUAAGAAGAAAAACACUUUUAUAAAUAUUGUAUAGCAAGGGCAGAUCCAGAGAAUUAGUAGGGGGCCGAAAUAAGGCCCCAUUUCCAGUGCUAAAAUGCAGACCUGUAUUUUUCCCAAUUUUUGCUUUUAAAUUCCCAAACAAUGAAAACAAGUCCCAACAGGGUAGCCUUUUUGUUAAAAAAUCUUCAAAGGCCCACAUAUUACAAUUUGUGCUUCAAAAUUGUUAAGUAAACUUCAUUUUUUGGCCUCUGAUUAUUUGAAUGAGGCCAGCUUUGACCAAAUUGCAAGUCAGAAGGAGUCCAAUCAUUCUUUAAGGCUCUGGUUUGAUUUUCUCCCUACUUCUUUGUAUGGAACAAUUUUCCCAAUUUCAAGCAAAUGUCGCUAUUUUUCCCAAUUGGGAAGGCCCAGGCCCUUGACAAUCAAUACCUUAAAAAUCUCUGCCUUUUUUCACAGACUAAAAAAAUACAAGAGAACCACAAAGGUUUCAUAAUAAUAUUACUGAAGUCUACAUGGAAAGAAGCUGGUUUUUUAUAGAAUUGCCCAAAAGUUGCUUCCUGAUAUGUUUUUAAAAAAAAAUGUAACCAAAAGUAGUUUUAUUUUAUGGGUUAUGCAAUUUUUUUCAUUGGUUAGAUUCUUUCAAUUUUUGAGAAGAAUUUCAAUCUCACUCAGACUCACUCCUGAUACUUCUGUAUGAGCAAUUCAAAUCAUGUCCUCUUUGUAUAUUUAAAAUUACAUAUUCAACAUUUCAUAGAGAAAAAUAAUUGUUGUCACUAUAAAAAUCGUUUUAAAACUGACUCCUCAAGAUGUUACGCAAACAAGCAGAGGGGGUGUAAAUGGUUGUGUAGAAAAUUGCCUAAACAAUCGUGUACUGCCCCCCCCCCCCCCCCCCCCCAAAUUCCUGGAUCUGCCUAUGUUAUCAUGGUUAUAUGUUGUUUAAAACUCGUGAUCUAUUUGCUUUUAUUUUUUCUGAUCAUAUCUCAUUGAAAUAUAACAAUUAAACAUCAGUGUUUUCUUGGGACCACGUGAAAUAACCACAGACGAUCAUUUUAUCAACUUCGUAAGUUAUGCUGUUUAACAUAUUACGAAGUCUAUAAACAAAUCCCAGUAGAAAUAACGGUUGCAGAACUCAAACACUAAACAGACAUUUAAAUGUUUACACAUUAUCAUCAGCACAAGUUGCUUCCACCCUCAAUAAAAUUGAUUAUGUGUUUGUGUACGAAUACAUGACUGUCACUAUGGAUGUGUGUUUGCAAUGAAAACUUUUCUGCAUAAAUCUAGCCAAUGGUGUUCACAAACUACAUUUCAUUCCUUUUAAGCUUGUCUAAAUAUUACAUUAACUUUAAUCUUCAUAAACAAAAACCCUUCAUCACCUUAUUCGCUUGUUUCCAACGAUCGAAUCAAGAUGUUUUGUCAUACACUCGCUUGUUUACAUAUGACGUUGCCUAGUGAACCAGAACUACUUAGUCUAACUACGAGUGGUGUCAAGGGGGGCUACUGUGUAUAUCGGUAGCUAACCAUUGGCUGUCGUCUGUCGCCGUGUGUUAACAGUUGAACAUUUUUAACUUCUUCUUGAUAAGUACUAUUCCAAUUCUUUUCAAAUUUGGUAUGAAUCAUCUUUGGGGCUAGGGGGACAUCAAUUGUAAAUUUCAGGACUCCUGCACCUAAAAUUGACCAGUUCUAAAAAAAAAAAAAAAAAAAAAACCCUCUUCUGUAGAAUCGCACAAUUGUAAGCAAAACUAAAUGCAUUGUGAUGUAGAGCAGGAAGGCCUCUACUGAAAAUGUAAAUUUCAUGAUCCCCCGGGUAGGGUUUUGACCCCAGGGCGGGGCCAAAUUUAAUAUACAGUGUUUAUGUGUAAAACAAUUAAAUAGCAUCUUCUUUAGUGCUAUUGAUACUAAAUAAACACAUGUUUAAGAAAAACUAAAUGCAUAGUGAUGUAGAGCAAAAUUGUAAAUUUCAUGAUCCCAGGGGUAGAGGUCCUGACCCAAGCGGUGGGGCCAAACUUAGUAUAUAGUGUUUAUGUGUAAAACACUUACAGUACCUGCAACAUUAUUAUUGACAUUCCUAUUGUGUUCUAUUGUGUGUGUAUCCUAUCGUAUUGUGCGUGUAUCCUAUUGUAUUGUGUUUUGUGUUUAUCAGGUUUUCAAUUUUCUGUCCUGUUUUGCGUUUAUCAGAUCUAUCAUGUUUUGCGUGUAUCAGGUUUUCCGUUUAUGGUGAAAAUCGUUUAUCGUGUAGCUUCGGCAACUAUAGGAAUCGUAUAUUAAAUCUAAUGAAAGCUU